GGUUAACGGGGGAUUAGGGUUCGAUUCCGGAGAGGGAGCCUGAGAAACGGCUACCACAUCUAAGGAAGGCAGCAGGCGCGCAAAUUACCCAAUUCUAACAGUUUGAGAGAGGUAGUAACAAGAAAUAACAAUACAAGGCAGUUAAAAUGCUUUGUAAUUGGAAUGAUAGAAAUUUAAACCCUUUUUAAAGUAUCAAUUGGAGGGCAAGUCUGGUGCCAGCAGCCGCGGUAAUUCCAGCUCCAAUAGCGUAUAUUAAAAUUGUUGCAGUUAAAAAGCUCGUAGUUGAAGUUCUGCURAAAGUAACCGGUCUGCUUUUAAUAAAAGUGGUAUCUUGGUAUGUAUUUAGCAAUGAUGUCCUUUGAAGUGUUUUUUACUUUAUUGUAAUAAAGCAUAUUCAGGACUUUUACUUUGAGAAAAUUAGAGUGUUUCUAGCAGGCUGACGCUUUGAAUACUGCAGCAUGGAAUAAUAAGAUAGGAUUUUAGUUCUACAUUAUUGGUUUUAAGAGCUAAAUUAAUGAUUGAUAGGGACAGUUGGGGGCAUUUGUAUUUAACUGUCAGAGG
rnacentral:rRNA from 1 species